GGGCUCUUAGCUCAGCUGGUAGAGCAGCGGACUCUUAAUCCGUUGGUCGCAGGUUCGAAUCCUGCAGGGCCCACCA
rnacentral:tRNA from 1 species